GAUGGCACUGUGAAGAGAAGAGACGGUAGACAGCAGUUAAAGGACUGUGUGCAUUGCCAGCACAGCAGCCAGGCCAAAAUCCAGCCACCACCCCUCCGUGUUACCGGGUCACUGUGGAAAGUGGGCCCUCGCCACUUCCUGCCCUGGAGUUCCUGGCUUGAUGGGGAUUGUUUUUAACCUAUGAUUAGCUGCUCUCCUUUCAAGAACAUCUUUGCCUUACUUGGACUCUAUCUCAGGUUCCACAAUGUGUUCUAAGUUCCUAAAUUGGCCCACCAGGAAACAGGCAGUCAUACCAGAGAAGAGACUGGUGGUGAGAAUGAUGUUCCACACCCAGCGCUCGCCUCCAAUCUGCCGGUAGAAGUGGCUGGACACGUAGCCAGAGAUGCAGCAAGUCAGGGCAUACAACAAGAUGGCUGCUGAAUUAAUAGCCCCGUGACGGUGCACAUUGAACAUGCCCAACAGCGCCAUGACAAUAAUGCCUGCAGGGUGGUAGUGGAAAGCCUGUGUUAGAUCUCACUUAUCCCACUUCAGAGGGAUCAGCCAGCCCCCUUUCUCCCAGACCCGGGGCUUCCAAUAGCCCCCAGUUCUGUUGUGCAGAAAACCCACAACAGAAUAUAUGCAUCCUCGCUAGAGCCAUCCCACCCCUUAGGUCUGCCCCUCAACUUGGACAGAAAAGAUCUGAUCUUUUUCUGAACAAACCACCUACUUAGUGCUACCCCUUGAGAGAAAUCCCUGAUUAAUUGUUAUCACCUCACCAGUGCCAAGGGCCAGGAACUGGGCACCCACACCAAGCACAGCACAGAGCAGACCACGGUAUGGAGGGAAGCGGAAGACAUCUGUAUGGAUAAUUUUCCAGCCAUUGUCACUUUGGUCAAAGUCAUCACCAGAACCUGCAGAGGUUGUCUCUUCAUCCAAGUUGUACCGAGCCAGGUCAUUUCGAAGCACACGCAUGAGAAUAACAGCCACAAAACCCACCAGUAAAAACACAAGCACCAUGGAA